UACGGGGGGGGCAAGCGUUGUUCGGAAUUACUGGGCGUAAAGGGCUCGUAGGUGGCCAACUAAGUCAGACGUGAAAUCCCUCGGCUUAACCGGGGAACUGCGUCUGAUACUGGAUGGCUAGAGAUUGGGAGAGAGAUGCGGAAUUCCAGGUGUAGCGGUGAAAUGCGUAGAUAUCUGGAGGAACACCGGUGGCGAAGGCGGCAUCCUGGACCAACACUGACGCUGAGGAGCGAAAGCCAGGGGAGCAAACGGG
rnacentral:rRNA from 1 species